UACGAAGGGGGCUAGCGUUGUUUGGAAUUACUGGGCGUAAAGCGCACGUAGGCGGAUGGGUAAGUACCUUGUGAAAUCCCACGGCUCAACCGUGGAACUGCUCGGUAUACUGCUCGUCUUGAGCCAACUAGGGGCGACCGGAACAAACGGUGGAGCGGUGAAAUGCGUAGAUAUCGUUUGGAACGCCGAUGGUGAAAACAGGUCGCUGGGGUUGUGCUGACGCUGAGACACGAAAGCCAGGGGAGCGAACGGG
rnacentral:rRNA from 1 species